rnacentral:rRNA from 1 species
GACGAACGCUGGCGGCGUGCUUAACACAUGCAAGUCGAACGGAAAGGCCCUGCUCUUGUGGGGUGCUCGAGUGGCGAACGGGUGAGUAACACGUGAGUAACCUGCCCUUGACUUUGGGAUAACUUCAGGAAACUGGGGCUAAUACCGGAUAGGAGCUCCUGCUGCAUGGUGGGGGUUGGAAAGUUUCGGCGGUUGGGGAUGGACUCGCGGCUUAUCAGCUUGUUGGUGGGGUAGUGGCUUACCAAGGCUUUGACGGGUAGCCGGCCUGAGAGGGGGACCGGCCUCAUUGGGACUGAGAUACGGCGCAGACUCGUACGGGAGGCAGCGGUGGGAAGUAUGACAGAAUGGGCGGAAGCGUGAUGCAGCAGCGCCGCGUACGGGAUGACGGCCUUCGGGUUGUAAACCGCUUUCGCCUGAGACGAAGCGGGAGUGACGGUAAUUGGUAAAGAAGCACCGGCUAACUACGUG